UACGAAGGGGGCUAGCGUUGCUCGGAAUCACUGGGCGUAAAGGGCGCGUAGGUGGCCAACUAAGUCAGAUGUGAAAGCCCCGGGCUUAACCUGGGAACUGCGUUUGAAACUGGGAGACUCGAGUGUGGCAGAGGGGGGUGGAAUUCCACGUGUAGCAGUGAAAUGCGUAGAUAUGUGGAGGAACACCGAUGGCGAAGGCAGCCCCCUGGGUCAACACUGACGCUCAUGCACGAAAGCGUGGGGAGCAAACAGG
rnacentral:rRNA from 1 species